GAUGAACGCUGGCGGCGUGCUUAACACAUGCAAGUCGAACGGAAAGGCCGAAGCUUGCUUCGGUACUCGAGUGGCGAACGGGUGAGUAACACGUGGGUGAUCUGCCCUGUACUUCGGGAUAAGCUUGGGAAACUGGGUCUAAUACCGGAUAUGACGAUCUCUUGGAUGGGGUUGUGGAAAGCUUUUGCGGUAUGGGAUGAGCUCGCGGCCUAUCAGCUUGUUGGUGGGGUAAUGGCCUACCAAGGCGUCGACGGGUAGCCGGCCUGAGAGGGUGUACGGCCACAUUGGGACUGAGAUACGGCCCAGACUCCUACGGGAGGCAGUAGUGGGGAAUAUUGCACAAUGGGCGCAAGCCUGAUGCAGCGACGCCGCGUGGGGGAUGACGGCCUUCGGGUUGUAAACUCCUGUCGCAAUCGACGAAGCCUUUUGGUGACGGUAGGUUGAGAAGAAGCACCGGCUAACUACGUG
rnacentral:rRNA from 1 species